ensembl:lncRNA
AGAGAGAGAGGCAGGUUGAGGUUUCCAGGGUCAGAGACGUCCCGUGUGAGAGAGAGACAGAUUGAGGUUUCCAGGGUCAGAGACGUCCCGUGUGAGAGAGAGACAGGUUGAGGUUUCCAGGGUCAGAGACGUCCCGUGUGAGAGAGAGAGACAGGUUGAGGUUUCCAGGAUCAGAGACGUCCCGUGUGAGAGAGAGAGACAGGUUGAGGUUUCCAGGAUCAGAGACGUCCCGUGUGAGAGAGAGACAGGUUGAGGUUUCCAGGAUCAGAGACGUCCCGUGAGAGAGAGAGAGACAGGUUGAGGUUUCCAGGAUCAGAGACGUCCCGUGUGAGAGAGAGAGACAGGUUGAGGUUUCCAGGAUCAGAGACGUCCCGUGUGAGAGAGAGAGACAGGUUGAGGUUUCCAGGGUCAGAGACGUCCCGUGUGAGAGAGAGAGACAGGUUGAGGUUUCCAGGGUCAGAGACGUCCCGUGUGAGAGAGAGACAGGUUGAGGUUUCCAGGAUCAGAGACGUCCCAAAGUUGUCAUAUGUUGAGGCAGUGGAGAAAGUAGAGGAAGAUGGGUCAAGAGAAGUAGAUCUGUACCAGUACAGAGGGAUAAACCAACAAGUGAUAUAUAUAUAUAUAUGUUUCAGUAAGAUUGGA